GCAGGGUGCGGUGGCACAUGCCUGUAAUCCCAGGGACUGGGGAGGCUGAGGCAGGAGGAUUGCAAGUUGAAAGCUUCAGCAACUUAUUGAGGCCCUAAGUAAGUCAGCAAUACCCUGUCUCUA
rnacentral:sRNA from 1 species